AACGCGGUUCCAGGGCCGGUUCGGAGCUAGAGCCUGAUAAGCACCGGUGACGUCAUGACGCAGCAGCAGCACCAGUCGGUUACGUAAAGCAGUAGAAACAUUUCGCAAGCAAAGAAGAAGAAAAACUGAAGCCCUUAAAGUCAAAAGUGUAUAAUAUCUACCUGUAAAUAAUAAUAAAAACCCUUGAUUUAUAAC